GACAGAGGGUGCUAGCGUUGUUCGGAAUUACUGGGCGUAAAGGGCGCGUAGGCGGUCUGUUAAGUUCGGUGUGAAAUCCCCCGGCUUAACCUGGGAACUGCGUCUGAUACUGGAAGGCUUGAGGAUGGGAGAGGGAUGUAGAAUUCCAGGUGUAGCGGUGAAAUGCGUAGAUAUCUGGAGGAAUACCGGUGGCGAAGGCGGCAUCCUGGACCAUUACUGACGCUGAGGCGCGAAAGCUAGGGGAGCAAACGGG
rnacentral:rRNA from 1 species